CCUACGGGGGGCUGCAGUGGGGAAUAUUGGACAAUGGGGGGAACCCUGAUCCAGCCAUGCCGCGUGUGUGAAGAAGGCCCUCGGGUUGUAAAGCACUUUCAGUGAGGAAGAACGCCUGGUGGUGAAUACCCAUCAGGAAAGACAUCACUCACAGAAGAAGCACCGGCUAACUCCGUGUCAGCAGCCGCGGCAAUACGGAGGGUGCGAGCGUUAAUCGGAAUUACUGGGCGUAAAGCGCGCGUAGGUGGCUUGAUAAGCCGGUUGUGAAAGCCCCGGGCUCAACCUGGGAACGGCAUCCGGAACUGUCAAGCUAGAGUGCAGGAGAGGAAGGUAGAAUUCCCGGUGUAGCGGUGAAAUGCGUAGAGAUCGGGAGGAAUACCAGUGGCGAAGGCGGCCUUCUGGACUGACACUGACACUGAGGUGCGAAAGCGUGGGUAGCAAACAGGAUUAGAUACCCUUGUAGUC
rnacentral:rRNA from 1 species